AUUGAACGCUGGCGGCAGGCCUAACACAUGCAAGUCGAACGAGUGGCGGACGGGUGAGUAAUGUCUGGGACACUGCCUGCUGGAGGGGGAUAACUACUGGAAACGGUAGCUAAUACCGCAUACCCUCGGAUGUGGCCCGCUGGGAUUCGCUAGUAGGUGGGGUAACGGCUCACCUAGGCGACGAUCCCUAGCUGGUCUGAGAGUAUGACCGGCCACACUGGAACUGAGAAACGGUCCAGAUGCCUACGGGAGGCAGCAGUGGGGAAUAUUGCACAAUGGGCGAAAGCCUGAUGCAGCCAGGCCGCGUGUAUGAAGAAGGCCUUCGGGUUGUAAAGUACUUUCAGCGGGGAGGCGUUACCCGCAGAAGAAGCACCGGCUAACUCCGUGCCAGCAGCCGCGGUAAUAC
rnacentral:rRNA from 1 species